rnacentral:lncRNA from 1 species
AUGAAAAAGAUUAAAUUAAAUUUCCAACAGAGAACGCAUUUAUUCACGUCUACGAUGGCAGUUUUAAUUUUCUGGCUGCUCCAAAGAAUGCAGCGUCCAACCAGAGAGAAAUUUCUUCCUGGAUUUACAACCUCGUGCAAAAAACCAGCUGCAAAGGAACAGCACCUCCACCCCAGGACACAGCCAGGCCGCUCCCACUGCCACGAAACGGGCCUUCAGCACUAAGGUUGUGAUUCAAUAAAUAGGACUGGAAUCACAGGUCAUUCCCUUCCUUGGUGUAAGCUAAUAUUUUGCAAAUAUGGUCCACUCAGUGUAAACUGUGCUGACUUUGGGAAACAGUGAAUUCUACCACAGACACAACUCAAAUAUUUACAGGCGGUAGCACAGCACUGCUGUCCCCGUGGGACGCUCACACACACAGGGACGGGGAUCCCACACAGAUGCGUACCACGAUGUACCUUCCAAAGGACGAGAGGGACUUCUUAGCGGCAAGAAACUGCCAAAGAAUUCUUGAUUGUUGUAUUUAAAUCUACUUAAAUCAGAUGGUGAUGGGGACUCAGAACAUCUGCACGUCUGACACUAUUCAGGGAUUGCAGCAAGUCGCAAUGAAGAUAACGUGAAGCACCUUUUGGCACAUGGCAUCGUUCACAAAAUGCUGCUGGCCCAACUGCUCCAAAACGGGGCUGCACAGACACUGCUUUUUAUCCUUGGAGACAAACCGGCGUAGGACUUACAGCACCUUUCCCUAUACAAAGGUGUGCCAAAGGGGUGGAAAUGCACACUAUUAUACUAUUAUUAUUUUUAGGAAAAAUUGAGAAGAGAAGAAAAGAAAGGCGACAUUUUGAAAACACGCCUUUCUGGACUCAGGGUGUUUUCCCCACAUGAAAUAACAACAAGGUCACACGGGCUGCUGCUUCCUCACCCCCAGGCCACACAAAUUACCGUUUCUUCUCUAACUCCUUUGGAGCUUGCUUCCCUUCUCUUUGAUAUUUCUUCUCCAUAACUGAGAACAAGGAAGGCUGCCCAGGUUGUCCGAAGCACUCCUUGGAGCAAUCACCACACAAGCCACAGCGAUCUUAAACUUGAAAAUCCAAGACGUACCACUACGGAUCCACAGAGACUCCAGCUCUCCUUCUGAAACAACGCUCCCAUUUUCCACUGCUUUUCACACCAGAGCUUUUCAUGCCGCUUGCGACAGCGGCUGUGGCAAUGGCAGCAGAAGCUGGCAGUCCAUGAAAGGCGCCCCGCGUGGCACAGAGACGAGCAGGAGCGUCUGCUCUGUGCAGUGCCCGGCCU